AUUGAACGCUGGCGGCAUGCCUUACACAUGCAAGUCGAACGGUAACAGGUCUUCGGAUGCUGACGAGUGGCGAACGGGUGAGUAAUACAUCGGAACGUGCCUAGUAGUGGGGGAUAACUACUCGAAAGAGUGGCUAAUACCGCAUGAGAUCUACGGAUGAAAGCAGGGGAUCGCAAGACAUUGUGCUAAUAGACCGGCCGAUGGCAGAUUAGGUAGUUGGUUGGAUAAAAGCUUAACAAGCCGACGAUCUGUAGCGGGUCUGAGAGGACGAUCAGCCACACUGGGACUGAGACACGGCCCAGACUCCUACGGGAGGCAGCAGUGGGGAAUUUUGGACAAUGGGCGAAAGCCUGAUCCAGCAAUGCCGCGUGCAGGAUGAAGGCCUUCGGGUUGUAAACUGCUUUUGUACGGAACGAGAAGCCCUGGGUUAAUACCCUGGGGUCAUGACGGUACCGUAAGAAUAAGCACCGGCUAACUACGUGCCAGCCGCCGCCGUAA
rnacentral:rRNA from 1 species